AUGUUGACCAAAUCGUUUCUUCAAAACCUGGUUCACAAAUACUAUGAUCUUGCUACUAGCUUCUAUGAGUGUGGCUGGACUGAAUCCUUCCACUUUGCUCAUAGCAUUUUAGGUGGAAUGGUGAACCUUGAAGCGGAAGUACCAAACGGUACGAGCACUUUCUGGCCCUAUGGCUUGAGUUGA
rnacentral:rRNA from 1 species